UACGUAGGCAGCAAGCGUUGUUCGGAAUUACUGGGCGUAAAGAGUGUGUAGGCGGUGCUCCAAGUCUGGUGUGAAAUCUCCCGGCUUAACUGGGAGGGGGCAUUAGAAACUGGAAUGCUAGAGGAUGGGAGAGGUAAGCGGAAUUCCUGGUGUAGCGGUGAAAUGCGUAGAUAUCAGGAGGAACACCUGUGGUGUAGACAGCUUACUGGACCAUUUCUGACGCUGAGACACGAAAGCGUGGGUAGCAAACAGG
rnacentral:rRNA from 1 species